GAUGAAGAACGUAGCGAAAUGCGAUACUUGGUGUGAAUUGCAGAAUCCCGUGAACCAUCGAGUCUUUGAACGCAAGUUGCGCCUCAAGCCAUUAGGUUGAGGGCACGUCUGCCUGGGCGUCACAUAUCGUUGCCUGAUGCCAGUUUCCUCGUGAUGGGUGACUGUGCAGGGCGGAUGAUGGCUUCCCGUGAGCAUUGUUGCCUCAUGGUUGGUUGAAAAUUGAGUCCUUGGUAGGGAGCGCCGUGAUAGAUGGUGGUUGAGUGACGAACGAGACCCAAUCAUGUGAGACCCCUACCGAAUUUGGCCUUCAUGACCCACAUGCGUCUUUGGAACGCUCAUGACGAGACCUCAGGUCAGGCGGGGCUACCCGCUGAGUUUAAGCAUAUCAAUAAGCGGAGGA
rnacentral:misc_RNA from 1 species